rnacentral:rRNA from 1 species
UACGUAGGGUGCAAGCGUUGUUCGGAAUUAUUGGGCGUAAAGAGCUCGUAGGCGGUCUGUUGCGUCUGCUGUGAAAACCCGGGGCUUAACCCCUGGCUUGCAGUGGAUACGGACAGACUAGAGGUAGGUAGGGGAGAAUGGAAUUCCCGGUGUAGCGGUGAAAUGCGCAGAUAUCGGGAGGAACACCGAUGGCGAAGGCGGUUCUCUGGGCCUUAACUGACGCUGAGGAGCGAAAGCGUGGGGAGCGAACAGG